GGGCCAGAUGCCGGGCCAGAUGCCGGGCCAGUUGCAGGGCCAGAUGCCGGGCCACAUGGGCAUGAACCCCAUGGGAAUGGGUAGAAUGCCAAUGGGACCUGAUCAGAAGUACUGUUGAGGACCUGUGGCUGGCAGCAGAAACUGGAGCCUUUCACCUGUAGCAAAGUGGCCUGGGCCAGGAGAAGAGCUGGGCCUACACACACACACACACACACACACACACACACACAGAAUAGGAGUUCCCCUCCAUAAAAUGCAACGCAGGAGUUUCAGCACAUCGCAGUGUUCAUCCUGAAGGAAGUGGGCUAAGAGGACAAGCCUGCAUCAGGUUUCAUCUCCAACUGAAGCCUCACAACUCUAUUUAGGUUAUGCACACACACACACACACACACACACACACAAAAUCUAUGUGUGUGUAUAUGCAUGAAUGACCUGCAGCUGUCGGACAGUAUUUAGCUUCACAGUCAGGCUGCAAGAAGGGACAACGGUACAACUGAUUGUGGCCGCACUUUACCAGGAGGCUUCUGUGUGGAACAACGAUUGAUGCAAUAUUUCUUCAUCAUUAAAGCCUUACUAGAGAUUCAAUGCCUUCACAACAAUGGGUUUCUUUUUUAGCCUUUGGAUGCGCCUCAUUCUUUAAGACAUUGGAAGCUCUAAGCACAGUUUUACUAUGUUAUGCAUAUUGGAGCAAUAACUCUCACCUCUAUGCUUGAGACUGUAUCUGAGCACCAUCACCCCCCCAUGAGCAAACAAAUGGUACUGCAGUAUUAGAUGUCUCAAAUGUCCUCUGUGAACAUGAAAUGUAAAUAAUCUACAAAAUAUAUCAAACAUGUUUUUUAAAGGCCCGUUAUUGCACAGAGUAUGAGACCUGGUUGUAUUUUUGUGUCCCAUCUACCAAUACUGAUUUGGUUCAUUAGCUUUUUUUUUUGCCGGGGCAAAUAUGGCAGGUGUGUUUGGGUUUUCCUUCCCUUGUUUGUCAUUAUCUUGAUGCUGUAUUUUUAAAUUUUCAGAAAAGUCUUUUCAUGUUUUAGCGAGGCACUUUUCAAUUGUGAUGAGGAUCUGACGAGUUGAAGGUUUGAGCUUUCAGCUGUCAGAGGUUUUUAUUGGAAGGGGGAGGAAAUGAAUUCUGUCAGGACUGUCCGUCAAAUUAUUUGUUGUUGGUGUGUGUGUGUGUGUGUGUGUGUGUCUGUGUGAUACAAUCGGGGUAUUACACAUGUUGUGAGGACCUGAAACUGUCGACACAGUCACAUUAUGGGGGCUUGUCUUCCUUAUGGGGACAAAAAGAAAUCCCCACAUAAUGAGGUUGGCUAGAGGAGGUUAGGGUUGGGCGAUAAGUAGUUAGUUAGUGUAAGUCUCCACGAAUUGAAUAUAAGUCAAACUAUUGUCCUUAAAGUCAGGGAGACGUGUGCGUGCUGUGUGUGUAGCGUGCGUUGCAGUGAAGACAGGAACACAGCUCACCAACAGACCUCUGGUCCUUGCAGAGUUCUCUCUCCCUCCCACCAGCUUUGUCUGUGUCCAGUGUAUUUUAUUAGCAGCAUCUUCUUUUGACUGUUAUUCUCAGCUCGCUGAAUCUACCUUUUCAACAUGCGCAAUCCAAAGAUAUUUUUCCACAUCUCUGUAUAGUUUCUGAGGUUUCUGGUGUACAUUUUUUAUCACACGUGUCAUGUAAUUCUGAUGGUAAAUGGGUACAUAUCAUGGAUCUGUAAUCACUUAUGAUGGUUAUGUAUUGCAAGCGUAUCGGCUAUCGGUGCAGUGCAAAGAGGACGAGACGGUCCCAACCCCACAGCAGAAAGUUUUUACAUCCAGAGAGAGAAAAAAAGAAAGCAUGUUUUGCUGUGAAAGAGAAAUAGUAAUGGAAUGAAAUCAACUUAAAGACAUAUCAAUAUCUCCUCUAUUUUUCGGGAAACAACUUCAUUGUAUGUGCAUAUUUUGUUACUUCAGGAAAAAUGAACUUUGUAGAGUUUUAAUGAAGUACACAAAAGAGGUGAGAGAUCCUUUGGUUUGUUUCUGUUUUUCUCUGUGUGGAGGUAAGAUAAGCUGUCAUUUUACAGGAUGUAUAUUACAGAUUUUUUUUUCUUUUGAUGUUGAUAUUGAUGUAAAUACAAAUUUCUAUUUAAACA